rnacentral:rRNA from 1 species
AACGAACGCUGGCGGCAUGCCUAACACAUGCAAGUCGAACGAGACCGUCGGGCCUAGUGGCGCACGGGUGCGUAACGCGGGGGAACCUGCCCUUAGGUUCGGAAUAACGCGCCGAAAGGGGUGCUAAUACCGGAUCAAGUCCUCGGACCAAAGGUUUGUCGCCAUCGGUUGCGCCGUCGUUGGUUUAGCUGGAUGUUAGGGUAAACGCCUCCCAGGGCGUCGAUCCAUAGCUGGUCAGUGAGGAUGAUCAGCCACACUGGGACUAAGACACGGCCCGGACUCUUACGGGAAGCGGCAAUGGGGAAUAUUGGACAGUGGGCGAAAGCAUGAACCAGCUAUGCCGCGUGAGUGAUGUAGGCCUUAGGGUAGUAAAGCACUUUUACCCGGGAUGAUAAUGACAUUACCGGGAGAAUAAGCUCCGGCUAACUCCGUG